GACAGAGGGUGCAAACGUUGCUCGGAAUCACUGGGCGUAAAGGGCGUGUAGGCGGGUAGGCAAGUCGGGCGUGAAAUCCCUCAGCUUAACUGGGGAACUGCGUCUGAUACUGGUUGGCUUGAGUGCAGGAGAGGAACGCGGAAUUCCAGGUGUAGCGGUGAAAUGCGUAGAUAUCUGGAGGAACACCGGUGGCGAAGGCGGCGUUCUGGACUGCAACUGACACUGAGGAACGAAAGCCAGGGGAGCAAACGGG
rnacentral:rRNA from 1 species